rnacentral:RNase_P_RNA from 1 species
GAAGUGUUUCAUCCAGUCGCUGCCGUUUUUUUCGGCGGAGGAAAGUCCGGGCUCCGCAGGGCAGGGUGCAGGAGAAAUUCCUGUGGGUGCGAACUCAAGGAAAGUGCCACAGAAAUAUACCACCGGGGAAACCCGGCAAGGAUGAAAAGGCGAGGUAAGAGCUCACCGGACGUGCGGCGACGCGCGUGCCAGGCAAACCCCACCCGGAGAAAGAUCGAAUAGGGGAGGAUGAGGCGGCCCGCUGACUCCCGGGUCGAUCGCUAAAGCGUCGCCGCAAGGCGCCGCUCAGAUAAAUGACUGGACACGACAGAACCCGGCUUACGAGACGCUUCCCUA